GAACGCUGGCGGCGUGCCUAAUACAUGCAAGUCGAGCGGACCGACGGGAGCUUGCUCCCUUAGGUCAGCGGCGGACGGGUGAGUAACACGUGGGUAACCUGCCUGUAAGACUGGGAUAACUCCGGGAAACCGGGGCUAAUACCGGAUGCUUGAUUGAACCGCAUGGUUCAAUUAUAAAAGGUGGCUUUUAGCUACCACUUACAGAUGGACCCGCGGCGCAUUAGCUAGUUGGUGAGGUAACGGCUCACCAAGGCAAGAAUGCGUAGCCGACCUGAGAGGGUGAUCGGCCACACUGGGACUGAGACACGGCCCAGACUCCUACGGGAGGCAGCAGUAGGGAAUCUUCCGCAAUGGACGAAAGUCUGACGGAGCAACGCCGCGUGAGUGAUGAAGGUUUUCGGAUCGUAAAACUCUGUUGUUAGGGAAGAACAAGUACCGUUCGAAUAGGGCGGUACCUUGACGGUACCUAACCAGAAAGCCACGGCUAACUACGUGCCAGCAGCCGCGGUAAUACGUAGGUGGCAAGCGUUGUCCGGAAUUAUUGG
rnacentral:rRNA from 1 species